rnacentral:misc_RNA from 1 species
AAGUCGUAACAAGGUCUCCGUAGGUGAACCUGCGGAGGGAUCAUUACUGAGUUCAUAACUCUAAAACCCCUGUGAAUCUACCUGUCUUUGUUGCUUCGGUAGGCGGUCCCUGGGAGGGACCUGUAGCCUGUCGUGGGUGCCUGCCGAGGAACAUACAAAACUCUGUUACAGCGGUGUAAAUCUUCUGAGUCUUACAAAAAUAAACAUUAAAACUUUCAACAAUGGAUCUCUUGGUUCUG